rnacentral:rRNA from 1 species
UGGGGAAUAUUGCACAAUGGGCGCAAGCCUGAUGCAGCCAUGCCGCGUGUAUGAAGAAGGCCUUCGGGUUGUAAAGUACUUUCAGCGGGGAGGAAGGGAGUAAAGUUAAUACCUUUGCUCAUUGACGUUACCCGCAGAAGAAGCACCGGCUAACUCCGUGCCAGCAGCCGCGGUAAUACAGAGGGUGCAAGCGUUAAUCGGAAUUACUGGGCGUAAAGCGCACGCAGGCGGUUUGUUAAGUCAGAUGUGAAAUCCCCGGGCUCAACCUGCGAACUGCAUCUGAUACUGGCAAGCUUGAGUCUCGUAGAGGGGGGUAGAAUUCCAUGUGUAGCGGUGAAAUGCGUAGAGAUGUGGAGGAAUACCGGUGGCGAAGGCUGCCCCCUAGACAAAGACUAACGCUCAGGUGCGAAAGCGUGGGGAGCAAACAGG